rnacentral:misc_RNA from 1 species
GUUGAUCGAAACAGUGAAUCUGGGUUAGAAUUAAACUCAGUUACAGGGCUAGUAGAGCUCAGAAAUGUAGAUUUCUCCUACCCUUCUAGGCCAGAUGUGCGAAUCCUCAACAAUUUUAACCUCAAUGUUCCGGCCGGCAAGACCAUAGCUUUGGUUGGCAGUAGUGGAUCUGGUAAAAGCACUGUGGUCUCCCUCAUUGAGAG